UUAAAAGCCUUUGGAAAGAGACAGGAAAUUCCUAAGGGAACAAGAAGUGAGUCCAGGACUUCUGAGGAUACAUAUUCCUGUGGUGGAAUUCCUCUGUCAGGGUGUGAUUGAGGAGAGGGGGAUGUGACUCUCUGGGAGAUGAGAGUGAUCUGAGCUGGACUCUAAGCAAUGAGUUUCCCCAGUAUCCUUCUGUACCCAACCUGGAACAAGUGUUGGAAGAAGGGAAGAGGUGCACUGAGGGCACUGGUCCACCUUUUCAGCAGGUGGACCAGUGCCUAACUUUGCAUGGGGCUGGGUUCCUUAAAGGUCUGAUGGCAAGCCU